rnacentral:rRNA from 1 species
AUUGAACGCUGGCGGCAUGCCUUACACAUGCAAGUCGAAUGGCAGCACGGGAGCAAUCCUGGUGGCGAGUGGCGAACGGGUGAGUAAUAUAUCGGAACGUGCCCAAUCGUGGGGGAUAACGCAGCGAAAGCUGUGCUAAUACCGCAUACGAUCUACGGAUGAAAGCGGGGGAUUCGCAAGAACCUCGCGCGAAUGGAGCGGCCGAUAUCAGAUUAGCUAGUUGGUGGGGUAAAAGCUCACCAAGGCGACGAUCUGUAGCUGGUCUGAGAGGACGACCAGCCACACUGGAACUGAGACACGGUCCAGACUCCUACGGGAGGCAGCAGUGGGGAAUUUUGGACAAUGGGGCGCAAGUCUGAUCCAGCCAUUCCGCGUGCAGGACGAAGGCCUUCGGGUUGUAAACUGCUUUUGUACAGAACGAAAAAGGUCUCUAUUAAUACUAGGAGCUCAUGACGGUACCGUAAGAAUAAG